AACGCUAGCUACAGGCUUAACACAUGCAAGUCGAGGGGCAGCAUGAACUUAGCUUGCUAAGUUUGAUGGCGACCGGCGCACGGGUGAGUAACACGUAUCCAACCUGCCGAUGACUCGGGGAUAGCCUUUCGAAAGAAAGAUUAAUACCCGAUGGCAUAGUUCUUCCGCAUGGUAGAACUAUUAAAGGAUUUCGGCCAUCGAUGGGGAUGCGUUCCAUUAGGUUGUUGGCGGGGUAACGGCCCACCAAGCCUUCGAUGGAUAGGGGUUCUGAGAGGAAGGUCCCCCACAUUGGAACUGAGACACGGUCCAAACUCCUACGGGAGGCAGCAGUGAGGAAUAUUGGUCAAUGGACGAGAGUCUGAACCAGCCAAGUAGCGUGAAGGAUGACUGCCCUAUGGGUUGUAAACUUCUUUUAUACGGGAAUAAAGUGAGGCACGUGUGCCUUUUUGUAUGUACCGUAUGAAUAAGGAUCGGCUAACUCCGUGCCAGCAGCCGCGGUAAUACGGAGGAUCCGAGCGUUAUCCGGAUUUAUUGGGUUUAAAGGGAGCGUAGGCGGACGCUUAAGUCAGCAGUGAAAUGUAGCGGCCCAACCGCUGCACUGCUGUUGGAACUGGCGCCCUUGAGUGCACACGAGGUAUGCGGAAUUUGUGGUGUAGCGGUGAAAUGCUUAGAUAUCACGAAGAACUCCGAUUG
rnacentral:rRNA from 1 species